rnacentral:rRNA from 1 species
GAUGAACGCUGGCGGCGUGCCUAAUACAUGCAAGUCGAGCGAACAGACGAGGAGCUUGCUCCUUUGACGUUAGCGGCGGACGGGUGAGUAACACGUGGGUAACCUACCUAUAAGACUGGGAUAACUUCGGGAAACCGGAGCUAAUACCGGAUAAUAUUUCGAACCGCAUGGUUCGAUAGUGAAAGAUGGCUUUGCUAUCACUUAUAGAUGGACCUGCGCCGUAUUAGCUAGUUGGUAAGGUAACGGCUUACCAAGGCAACGAUACGUAGCCGACCUGAGAGGGUGAGCGGCCACACUGGAACUGAGACACGGUCCAGACUCAUACGGGAGGCAGCAGUAGGGAAUCUUCCGCAAUGGGAGAAAGCCUGACGGAGCAACGCCGCGUGAGUGAUGAAGGUCUUCGGAUCGUAAAACUCUGUUAUUAGGGAAGAACAAACGUGUAAGUAACUGUGCACGUCUUGACGGUACCUAAUCAGAAAGCCACGGCUAACUACGUG